rnacentral:lncRNA from 1 species
CACACAACACACACACACACACACACACGCACGCACCCCCGCGCGCACACGCCCGCCCGCUCGCGCUGCCUCUGCGCCUCCAUCCCGGCUCGCUCAUUAUCUCGCCCUCUCGCUUCCCCUGCGGUCUCUCGCUCUGCGCGCACACACCACACACACGCACACGCACACACACGCGCGCACACACGCAGCCGGCACAGGCGGCGGCGGCGGCUGCCCAAGUCAGGACGAACCUAUCUAGGUACCGUCUUGAGAAGGCGGCAGCGGCGGCGGCGGCGGCGGCGGCGGCAGCCCGAGCAUCCCUCCUCUCCCGGAGAGGGAGCACCGCCGAGAGUUUCCGUUCCCUUUGCCAUUCCCUUCCCCCUCCUUUUCUUUUAUUUUCGAGAGAAUUUCUUCUUGGCUUAUUGGUUUAAUUUGAUUUUUAAAAUUUUGGGUUGCUUUUGUGUAUGUGUGCUUUUUUUUUCUUUCCUCAUUUUAUUUGCAUCCAGAGCAUGGCGGGCUGCGGGCUGUCGGAAGACACCCUCUUCUCUUCCUUCUUUUACAACUACGGCUCCUCCUGGGAAACCCCUUCCAACCAGGUAAGGGGUGGCUCGGUGCCGGGCGGCGUCGCGCCCCUUGCCCCCUGCCGCGCGCUCACUUGGUACUUGGUGGGGAGGCAGAGGCUCGGGAGGGGGUGGGGAGGAUGGGGGGCCAAGUGGGUCGCACUGUCUGGGUCAGCGCCAACCGGCGAGAGGAGAUACCCCCCCUUCCCCCAUCGCUAGCUUUCCAGUCUCCAGGUUCUGUCGCGUUCCUCCCGUGCCCAAUCUGCCAUCGACACCUUCCCCCACCACCUCCCAGCCCAGCGGGAACCCGAGAAAGAGGCAGGAGCCGGCGCGUUACCCCGAACAACUCCAGGCAGAACCAGGGAACUCGAGCGCAACCUUCCCCAAGUCGCCGCGGGCGCCGCGCCCCUGUGCGCCCGGCGCCUACCCGCCUUCCAGUUGCGCCGAGGGGCUGCAGAGCCGCAAGCCCCCCGCGACGUGCUGUCCCCCCUCCACUCCCCUCGGGGCCCGAGCCGCCUCUUUCCCUAAAAUGGCUGCAAUCUCAAGUAGAGGCGUCCCCUGACCCGCGGAGGUGGGGGGGGUGGGGUGCAGAGUGGAGCCUCCGCUCCUCCUGACCCCGCGCCUCCCCUGGGGCACAGAAGCACCCCACAAACACACUUAACUUUGAUGACUGUGCAAUGCAGUCCGGCUGCAUCGUGCCCUAGACGCUCCACGCCGCCGGCCUGUAGGUGUGCGUGUCGGUGUGACUCGGGGGGCCCAGGGACGCUGGGGGUAGACGCCGGAAGGGGGGCGUGGAAGGAGAUGGAUGUCAGCGGGCCACUGGUAACCUGGAGAGACAGGCAUGUGCUCAGGGUCUAGGGGUGAAAAAGCUAUUCUGGGAGCUGGAGCGAGAAAUAGAGAGAGGAAAAAUGCCUUUUAAUUAAAUAACUGUUGUAGUCUGCUGCCCCCACCGCUUGUUGGUGAAAGUCUACAGGCAUCUGUCAUCUCCAAACUACGCGGGGAAGUAGAGCUGGGGUCGAGGGAGGGGAGGCAUGUGUGUACGUGUAUGCGUGUGUGUGUGUGUGCACGCGGGUGUGUGUCUGUGUGUGGGUGUGCGCGCGCGCUCGCGUGUCUGGGCUGGGGAAAGUUGGGGCCAGAGGAGCGGUGGAGGAGCAAUGGUGAAAGGCAUU